rnacentral:lncRNA from 1 species
CAAAACUCUGUACAGUAUGACUAAUUACAUAAAAAUUAUGCACAAAAAAAUCUCCAAAGUAAUUACUAAUUACAAAAGAGCAUGUUAACAGUAAAACCCAAAUAAAAACUAAACUAUUUAGAUCAAGUAACUACUACAUAAUUCAUAAAUGACGGUAAACUGGUAACUCUUCUAAAGUACAAUAGAUCCUAUUCUAUUCCGUUCAUUUUAAUAAGCAGUAUCACUAUACUAGCUUAUAAUGGCUAAAUACCAGUCCUGGAUAAUAGUCUUAGUUCUUACCAGCUUGAAUGUAUUUUAUGAAAUACACAAUUAACAUAUUUUAUCGCAUUUUUCUCAAAUCUGUACAUUUUAUAAAGUAAAUAGUCUGACUUUAUGCCCAAAUUUUGAAAUAUAAAUUCUCUGAAAUUAAAAAUUCAUCCAAACUCACACAAUUCAAAAACUAACAGAGCAAGUGAUUUGUACAUUGUAUCUAUUCUAUUGCUAAAUGGCCAGAGUCACUUAGUAAACAGAGAAAUGUUCAUUAUCUUUUUCCUCAGGAUUAAUUUUUAAUUCGAGAUCUUUAGGAAAUGAAUUC